AUACUAACCUGGCGUAGGGGAUAUCAUGAUCAACGAGGUGGUUCCCCCAGGCAUGAGGCCAUAGAGCUGAAGCCUGUAAGUACUCCUAACGCGAGUAUUUGUGCGUUAAAUUUUUGGUAGUGUGGGGUUCUUGCGGGAACGCAGACCCCAUG